rnacentral:rRNA from 1 species
AGUCGAACGAUGAAGCCCUUCGGGGUGGAUUAGUGGCGAACGGGUGAGUAACACGUGGGCAAUCUGCCCUUCACUCUGGGACAAGCCCUGGAAACGGGGUCUAAUACCGGAUACCACUCCUGCCUGCAUGGGCGGGGGUUGAAAGCUCCGGCGGUGAAGGAUGAGCCCGCGGCCUAUCAGCUUGUUGGUGGGGUAAUGGCCCACCAAGGCGACGACGGGUAGCCGGCCUGAGAGGGCGACCGGCCACACUGGGACUGAGACACGGCCCAGACUCCUACGGGAGGCAGCAGUGGGGAAUAUUGCACAAUGGGCGAAAGCCUGAUGCAGCGACGCCGCGUGAGGGAUGACGGCCUUCGGGUUGUAAACCUCUUUCAGCAGGGAAGAAGCGAAAGUGACGGUACCUGCAGAAGAAGCGCCGGCU